UGGUUCGAUAUCUUUAAGUCUUAUGAGAGAAUCACAAAUGAGUACACGGUCCAUUAAGUUUCUUUCAGUGAGUUUAUAUAAAAGAAAUUUUCGCG